AAAGUUUUUGAGUUAUCCUUCUUUGAGUGUUACCUGGAUUUAAAUCUUAGUGAUUUAUAAAUAGAACAAAAGUAAUCAAGUUUGACAAACAGGUAAUGUGAAGGUGAGAAACUGGUUAGGCAGGUUAAUUUAGAAACACUAGUCUUGAGAUAAGGUGUUGUCAGUAUAACACCUGGACAGUGUUGAAGUCAGAUGUUGAAAACUGACUGGAACUUGGAGUUGGAGUUUGACUAUUGUCAGGGCAGAUAUUAUAUCAGGAAUGAUCAGUUCAGGAGAAUUCAUUAAUAUUUUGUCCAUCAGGACAAUAAAGAACUCCCAGGGGACUUGUUGAGUUAUGGAAGUAUUUUAGAUCAUUAAAAGAAAGGAGUGAUAAGUAAAAUGAGACAAUUUCCUAUAUAUAAAGUUGAAUCUCAGAUGAGGAUAAAUAUAUACUGUGUGUAUGGUUAACAUUUGAUAGUUUAAAUGGAACAGAUAGUUUUCAAGUAUUAAGUAUUACAACAACCUGAAUAUCUGUGUGGUUAAAUAGUCCGUCAGUGAAUUUGUUUCGGGACAAUUACAAUUUAAAACAUAGCAGAAACUUGUUUGACAGUUUGUCCCAGAGACUGAAGUAUUUAACGUUAUGUUGUCAAAGUAUUGGUUUUUCAAUAUUUGUCAAGUUGACAGACAGUAAAUUUGAACAGUAUAGUAAUUCGGAUCAAACGAGAACAACCUUUGAGAUUUCUGGAUUGAUAUAGACUUGUGAUUUAUGGACUGUGAUGGACUAAUUUAUUUAUUUACUUUUAAUUUUAACUUUUAGUUAAGUGUAUUUAGUUCCGUGUAUUUGUCAUUGUCUAUGUGAGAUAGAAGAGAGGUCGUGGAGAGGUUGUUUCAUAUGUGUAUAUUUAUGUUUUGUGUUUGUCUUGUGGUUGUGGUAUUAUUAAAUGCAAAUUUUUA